rnacentral:tRNA from 1 species
UCCCAUGUACCUCAGUCGGUAAAGAAUCUGCCUGCAAUGCAGGAUACCUGGGUUCAAUUCCUAGGUUGGGAA